GACGAACCGUGCGAACGUUAUUCGGAAUCACUGGGCUUAAAGCGCGUGUAGGCGGGACGGCACGUCGGUCGCUGAAAGCCCCCGGCUCGAACCGGGGAACGGGCGCGAUACGACCGGCCUGGAGGGACGUAGGGGGACCUGGAACUUCCGGUGGGAGCGGUGAAAUGCGUUGAGAUCGGAAGGAACGCCCGUGGCGAAAGCGAGGUCUCGGACGUUUUCUGACCGGCUGAGACGCGAAAGCCAGGGGAGCGAACGGG
rnacentral:rRNA from 1 species